GACGAACGCUGGCGGCGUGCUUAACACAUGCAAGUCGAACGGUGAAGCGCCUUCCUUUUUGGUGGGUGUGGAUGAGUGGCGAACGGGUGAGUAACACGUGAGUAACCUGCCCCCUUCUUCUGGAUAACCGCAUGAAAGUGUGGCUAAUACGGGAUAUUCUGGGUCUGUCGCAUGAUGGGUCUGGGAAAGAUAUUGUUUCGGUGGGGGAUGGGCUCGCGGCCUAUCAGCUUGUUGGUGGGGUGAUGGCCUACCAAGGCGGUGACGGGUAGCCGGCUUGAGAGGGUGGACGGGCGCACGGGGACUGAGACACGGCCCAGACUCAUACGGGAGGCAGCAGUGGGGAAUAUUGCACAAUGGGCGCAAGCCUGAUGCAGCGACGCCGCGUGAGGGAUGGAGGCCUUCGGGUUGUGAGCCUCUUUCGCCAGUGAAGCAGGCCUGCCUCGUUUGUGGGUGGGUUGACGGUAGCUGGAUAAGAAGCGCCGGCUAACUACGU
rnacentral:rRNA from 1 species